AACGAACGCUGGCGGCAUGCCUAACACAUGCAAGUCGAACGAGACCUUCGGGUCUAGUGGCGCACGGGUGCGUAACGCGUGGGAAUCUGCCCUUGGGUUCGGAAUAACAGUUGGAAACGACUGCUAAUACCGGAUGAUGACGUAAGUCCAAAGAUUUAUCGCCCAGGGAUGAGCACGCGUAGGAUUAGCUAGUUGGUGGGGUAAAGGCCUACCAAGGCGACGAUCCUUAGCUGGUCUGAGAGGAUGAUCAGCCACACUGGGACUGAGACACGGCCCAGACUCCUACGGGAGGCAGCAGUGGGGAAUAUUGGACAAUGGGCGAAAGCCUGAUCCAGCAAUGCCGCGUGAGUGAUGAAGGCCUUAGGGUUGUAAAACUCUUUUACCCGGGAUGAUAAUGACAGUACCGGGAGAAUAAGCCCCGGCUAACUCCGUG
rnacentral:rRNA from 1 species